rnacentral:rRNA from 1 species
AGCGAACGCUGGCGGCAGGCUUAACACAUGCAAGUCGAGCGGGCCCUUCGGGGUCAGCGGCAGACGGGUGAGUAACACGUGGGAACGUACCCUUUGGUUCGGAAUAACGCUGGGAAACUAGCGCUAAUACCGGAUACGCCCUUUUGGGGAAGGCUUGCUGCCGAAGGAUCGGCCCGCGUCUGAUUAGCUAGUUGGUGGGGUAAUGGCCUACCAAGGCGACGAUCAGUAGCUGGUCUGAGAGGAUGAUCAGCCACACUGGGACUGAGACACGGCCCAG